rnacentral:tRNA from 1 species
GCAUUGGUGGUUCAGUGGUAGAAUUCUCAUGUUCCUAUACUGGAGACCUGGGUUCAAGUCCCAGGCGAUGCA